ensembl:lncRNA
GACAAGAGAAGGUGGCGGCGAUAAGACGUGAGGAAACUUGUGUUGGGGAGGAUUCAGUGUCUGUUGAGGUCCAUGUGAAUGUGCUACAAAGUGAGUAUCAGAAAACACAUCCAGACACCUGGACUGUCAAAGACCACACGGCACGAACAUUCUCCUGGAGACGCUGAGAAAGCACGGAAGGAAUGUCUGUGGAGGAUGUACUUAAAAACACCCAUACUUAAGAACACCUGCUGGAGGGGACCCUGCUACACUCUUUCCUACCAUACACCUGAUGGAUUCUGACUGGAAAAUGGUAAUCAUAGGAGGGUUCAGUGUGGUGACAGAAGAUGGAAUAGACGUGUGUCAGUGCACCAGCCUUGAUGAAGCCUUCAUAACAGCCUUCUGGAUGUAUUUUGCUUUCAACAUUACAUAUCCACCACACCUGAGAAAGACACUGACUUUCCUUCAGAGGCACAGUCAACAUUGUGGAAGAUGGAGACAAGCACUGCCAGUAACUUUCCUCUGAGUGAUCAGCCUUUUGUAUUAGAUCCUCAUGCCUCAACUGUACCAUUACACAAAGUGCACUCGAAGGACAUUCACUCUUUUGAAGUUAAUCGAACAUGUUGGAGUUGUACAUACACAUGAACCAAAUUUUAGUAUAACCUGUGGUAUAGAUGAGUGCCAAUCAACUUUUUUGUGAUUCCAUUCUUUUAGAAAACAUGCACAGGAAUCAUAUGUACUUUUGGUAAUAAAAAUGACUCUCAGUGAAGAGUCUGCAGUACAAUUAUAUUAUAAUAUAAUGGAGAAGGGUCUGGCUGCAGACUUGCACUUGCACUCUCAGACACUUGCGCUUCUGCUAGUGACAACACUUGCAGUCUUUUUUUUAUUUGUAUUUAGUUAUAUCUAUCUAUUUUUUUUUUUUU